AGUGAACGCUGGCGGUAGACCUAACACAUGCAAGUCGAACGGCAGCACAGUAAGAGCUUGCUCUUACGGGUGGCGAGUGGCGGACGGGUGAGGAAUACAUCGGAAUCUACUUUUUCGUGGGGGAUAACGUAGGGAAACUUACGCUAAUACCGCAUACGACCUACGGGUGAAAGCAGGGGAUCUUCGGACCUUGCGCGAUUGAAUGAGCCGAUGUCGGAUUAGCUAGUUGGCGGGGUAAAGGCCCACCAAGGCGACGAUCCGUAGCUGGUCUGAGAGGAUGAUCAGCCACACUGGAACUGAGACACGGUCCAGACUCCUACGGGAGGCAGCAGUGGGGAAUAUUGGACAAUGGGCGCAAGCCUGAUCCAGCCAUACCGCGUGGGUGAAGAAGGCCUUCGGGUUGUAAAGCCCUUUUGUUGGGAAAGAAGAGCAGCAGGUUAAUACCCCGCUGUUCUGACGGUACCCAAAGAAUAAGCACCGGCUAACUUCGUG
rnacentral:rRNA from 1 species